rnacentral:other from 1 species
GUUGCACUGCGACGUUGGUGACUGCCAUCAAGUUUUUUGAUCUAUGUCUUUAAGAAAAAGGGAACUAAAAUCUCUCGUGGCAGUAAACCGGGCUUGUACCCGGAAACUUUAAACGAGGUAAAUCGGUUCCCACCUGGUUUAACCAGGUCAUAAACUUAGGUAAAACGGCGUUGCGGUGAACUC